rnacentral:rRNA from 1 species
AUUGAACGCUGGCGGCAGGCUUAACACAUGCAAGUCGAGCGAGCGGAGGAGGGGUGAGUAAUGUCUGGGAAACUGCCUGAUGGAGGGGGAUAACUACUGGAAACGGUAGCUAAUACCGCAUACGAUCAGAUGUGCCCAGAUGGGAGUAGCUAGUAGGUGGGGUAAUGGUGCACCGAGGCGACGAGCCCUAGCAGGUCGGAGAGGAUGACAGGCCACACGGGAACUGAGACACGGUCCAGACUCCUACGGGAGGCAGCAGUGGGGAAUAUUGCACAAUGGGCGCAAGCCUGAUGCAGCCAGGCCGCGUGUGUGAAGAAGGCCUUCGGGUUGUAAAGCACUUUCAGCGAGGAGGCGUUACUCGCAGAAGAAGCACCGGCUAACUCCGUGCCAGCAGCCGCGGUAAUAC